GGUGGCGGCAGAGACAUUAGAGUAUGUAGCAAGUUGCAGUGGACUGCUUUCACUACUAAGAGAGAACAUCUCCGCCGGAACGUGUACGCGUUCAAUUCAGUUCAGCAAACAGCCCAGCAUCGCCGCGCUCCUAGUCGCCGCAACCCGCAACCGGUCGUCUCCGCUUUUUUUUACCGAUUUCGCACCGUUUUUUUUUACCGUUUCGCGUAUUUUUCCGUGGCUUUAUCGGUAGUUCUCCCGGAUUGGGGGCCGAUGAUGGAUUAAGGGUGAUCCAGUGGGGUCGGAAAAACUUUUUUUUAAAAUGUGCCCGGUGCGCGAGCUGUAGUUUCUGUGAUUCCUCGCCAGCGCAUCCCUCGCCGAAAAGUCGCAACGAUGUGGAUGUUCAAAUGUUCUUUAGUGGUUCUAAGUGCUAGUUUCUUCAGAGUGUACUGCAUAACGCACAAGCCUUUUUCUGAAAGUGAUCUCUCACCUGGGAAUGAUACGCAUCUUCCGGAAUACGCUGCACUAUCACAGCAAUACCAGCCGUUCUCUCAACAACUUGCUCAACAAUUCUACCAGCAGUUCCAGCGCACGCUGUCGCCUCUGCAACAAUCACACAUCCUCGACGAUGUCCAACAAAACUACAAGUUUCAGCUGACACAGCCGAGCGAUCGGGGCCUGAUCAACAAUCACCUGACGCCCCCGCAACAGUCUCAACAAGACUACUUGUUUCCUUCACAAAACUUAGUUCUAUCUAGUCCGUAUCAGUUACCUUCCCAAAACAGCCAUUUCCAAUCAAACUCUGUACAACCUCCGUCCAGUGUCAUCAAGCAGUCUCAAGACCCGAACAUAUUCCUACCUCCGUCAUCAUCCCACCAACAACAAGAAACCCAGCAACCGCAGCAAACGUCAUACAUUUCAGCCGCGCCCAGCUCGCACGAUGUUCAGAUACAACAGUCCAAUGUCAUCCAGCCUUUAGCGUAUCAACCUUACGUCACGUCCGCGCAGUCGCACCAGUCGAUACCCGUGCAACAGCAGUCACAACUCUCACAACAGCAGGUACAUCAACAGCAAUUCCAACAAUCACAAAUACAGCAACCACAACUACACCAAACACAGCUACUACAACCGGUCCAGCCUCAGCAGCCUCCGCAUCUGCAAAUACCUUACCAGAACAUUGUGAGCGGUCUAUCGUUCACGGCGCAGCCUGUUUCGAACUUGCUAUCGACCACCGCCGCGCCCCACCAAGAUGUACCGCUGUACACGACGGCAACCGUAAGAAACGUCCCUUACGGUGCUGCGCAGUACACAACACCCAUGCCGAUACCGUUAAUUCCGAAUUACAAUCAAGAUAGUCUUCCAACGCUCAAACAAUACAGUAUGAACAGUAUCGACGUGAAUCCAAAUUUGAUCCAACCAAGUCCUGGCAUAUCCUACACGACUGUGUUACCAUUCCUUCAAUCGGUCUCUACUGAAGGAGCUAGAAUUUCCACAAAAUUUUUGCCGGAAGAUAUUGUACCGUCAAAGUCGCCUAAAUUCAACUACCGCGGGCGGGUUAAACCGAAGCCCCCUACGGAGUCACCGUCAUCAAGUGAUAAGAAAGAAAACGUACAGUCUAGGCACAGAGCUAUAUCUGAAGAAAGAACGGCAGAAGC
rnacentral:lncRNA from 1 species